UUGCCUGCAGAAAUGUUAGGGGCUGGGAUGUCAUUCUUUCAGAAACAACAGACAAGAACUGAAAGACCAAAAAAAGGAACAGAAGGAAAAUCAAAGAAAAGCCAAAGCAAACGAAUGCCUCACAGGUCACGAUGCAGGAGACAGAGCUUUGAAAAGAAGUCUGGGCAAAUUCCCUGAGAAGACUCACCCUGCCCAGAGACAGUCCUUCAAAUACUGGAUUUCAUGAUUGGAGCUUCUCUUCCACUGUGGUGGAUUCCACCACGGUCAUGCUGGCUCUCCAGGGCAUUGAGCAGAGUUCAUGAGGCCAAUGGUGCUUGCUACAGCAGAGAGCUGCGAAGCUGCUCCUUUGCUGACAUAUUUAGAGAUUGCUGACAUCUUGGCAUUAAUUCCCAUUGGAUUUCUUUGCCUGCUAUACCCAGAUGUCUCAGUUUAUGCCUUUACUGGUAACUACAUUGAUAGACAAUCAUCUCCUCCAUUAAAACAACAAAACCAACCUCAGAGAAGCCCCCUGUUCUCAACAUUUGUAAGUGAGUUUGCUCUAAAAAAUCCCCAACCCAGCACUUUCAAAGCACACACCAUGCGAGGAACUUUUGUGUGUAAACUGCAAAUGCCAUAGGUAUGACAAUCUGAUGUGCCCUCUUUGCAAAGGCUCCCUGGGACUAAGAAACCCUAUUCCUUAACCACUGUGUGAUUUCACCAGGGGUGUUAGAAGGCUUUUGCAGCCCUUUCCGGAGAUGGCAGCAUUUCAGUGAGGGGAUGCUGUGGAGCACUAUAUCCUAGUCUGGUUCUCACCCUGCCUGCAUUGCUAGGGUGCCCCAAUGCCUUCCAGAAAAGCCUCCAGCAGCAAGUCUAUCAUUUGUCACGGGUGUUUAUUGCCUUGUUUUUUUACUCUUCAACUUAAAAACUAUUAUUUUGCUGGCUCUUUUCUUCUCCAUGUACUUUAUAUUAUCGGUGCAUCAUUUAAACUUCAGGAUGAAACCUUGAUAUAGCACUUGGACCCCUGGGGAGUUCAUUGCUACAGCCUAAUGAUGCUUUCAGACUGCUCUGCCAGGAUGCAUCCCUCUACCAAAUGAUUCAAGAGCAAUCUUUAUUCACUUCUGCCACGCUUCUGCUGAGACCCAUGACAGCACAGCACAGAGGGUUGUUUGGCUUUUUUGAUUUUGGUGCUCACGGAUCACACUUGUGGGAUACUGAACAGAAGUGGAUGGCUUCCAAUACCCCUCUGGAUCAGAUAGGUAAGAUGCUCCCAAGGUACCUGGAGGCCAAAGAGAGACAACAUAUUAAGCAGGAGAUAUCUGAGAGGGAUAAGUUGCUACCAGGAACAUCCAAAGGCUAUCCCUUGAGAAACCAAGUCUGACAGAGCUGAUAGGCAUAAACAGUAUUCAGCCAGAAGUUUGACAUCUGGAUAUCAGCCUUUGCAUCUCAUCAGGAAACUGGACCGGCUGUCUGCAAGCAUCCAUGUCUCUCCCUUCAAUACCCAGAACUGGACUGACAUGCCCACAACACAGAACCUGCCACAAAAGAGGUACUUUUUCCUGGAAAUUUGGGACAGAUAGAGAUGGUGAUUGUGGCCAAGGCUGCCUCAUGCCUGAGAAGCAGAUCUCAAAGACAAGGACAACACCAUGGUGGAAGAAAAGUGAAAGAGGAUGGUCAGAAUAUAAAUAUCCAGCUUUAAAGAAGCACUGCAGAUCUCCCCAUACACUGAAGCAUUAAGGACUCACUCCAGCCAAGGGGAGCACGCUGCACUUGACAAACCACCACUCUUGCCUGGACAAGGAGCACUGUCAUCCCUCCUUAUCUGUCCAAGACGUCUCCAUCUGGCCUGCAAUUCUCAUGAUUUUUUCUCUUCUCUCCAUGGCUCUCUGAUUCCUUGUCGGUUAUGGUGACAUUCAUCAUGCAAUACUGCUGACUGUAAAAGUUGGAUGCACUUCAUGACACCCC